rnacentral:rRNA from 1 species
CCUACGGUGGCAGCAGUGGGGGAUAUUGCACAAUGGGGGAAACCCUGAUGCAGCGACGCCGCGUGAGUGAAGAAGUAUUUCGGUAUGUAAAGCUCUAUCAGCAGGGGAGAAAAUGACAGUACCUGACCAAGAAGCACCGGCUAACUACGUUCCAGAAGCCGCGGUACUACGUAGGGGGCAAGCGUUAUCCGGAUUUACGGGGUGGAAAGGGAGCGUAGGCGGUUGUGUAGGUCGGGAGGGAAAGCCCGGGGCCCAACCCCGGGACUGCUUUGGAAACUGUGUAACUGGAGUACAGGAGGGGCAGGCGGAAUUCCUGGUGUAGCGGUGAAAUGCGUAGAUAUCAGGAGGAACACCGGCGGCGAAGGCGGCCUGCUGGACUGAAACUGACGUUGAGGCUCGAAAGCGUGGGGAGCAAACAGGAUUAGAUACCCUGGUAGUC